CCACCGGAGCUUGCUCCACCGGAAAAAGAGGAGUGGCGAACGGGUGAGUAACACGUGGGUAACCUGCCCAUCAGAAGGGGAUAACACUUGGAAACAGGUGCUAAUACCGUAUAACAAUCGAAACCGCAUGGUUUUGAUUUGAAAGGCGCUUUCGGGUGUCGCUGAUGGAUGGACCCGCGGUGCAUUAGCUAGUUGGUGAGGUAACGGCUCACCAAGGCCACGAUGCAUAGCCGACCUGAGAGGGUGAUCGGCCACAUUGGGACUGAGACACGGCCCAAACUCCUACGGGAGGCAGCAGUAGGGAAUCUUCGGCAAUGGACGAAAGUCUGACCGAGCAACGCCGCGUGAGUGAAGAAGGUUUUCGGAUCGUAAAACUCUGUUGUUAGAGAAGAACAAGGAUGAGAGUAACUGUUCAUCCCUUGACGGUAUCUAACCAGAAAGCCACGGCUAACUACGUGCCAGCAGCCGCGGUAAUACGUAGGUGGCAAGCGUUGUCCGGAUUUAUUGGGCGUAAAGCGAGCGCAGGCGGUUUCUUAAGUCUGAUGUGAAAGCCCCCGGCUCAACCGGGGAGGGUCAUUGGAAACUGGGAGACUUGAGUGCAGAAGAGGAGAGUGGAAUUCCAUGUGUAGCGGUGAAAUGCGUAGAUAUAUGGAGGAACACCAGUGGCGAAGGCGGCUCUCUGGUCUGUAACUGACGCUGAGGCUCGAAAGCGUGGGGAGCAAACAGGAUUAGAUACCCUGGUAGUCCACGCCGUAAACGAUGAGUGCUAAGUGUUGGAGGGUUUCCGCCCUUCAGUGCUGCAGCUAACGCAUUAAGCACUCCGCCUGGGGAGUACGACCGCAAGGUUGAAACUCAAAGGAAUUGACGGGGGCCCGCACAAGCGGUGGAGCAUGUGGUUUAAUUCGAAGCAACGCGAAGAACCUUACCAGGUCUUGACAUCCUUUGACCACUCUAGAAAUAGAGCUUCCCCUUCGGGGGCAAAGUGACAGGUGGGUGCAUGGGUUGUCCUCCACCUCGUGUCCUGGAGAUGUUGGGGUUAAGU
rnacentral:rRNA from 1 species